GGUGAAGUAAAGGAAGAAAAAUUAGUAGAAAUAAUCAGAAUAAAGUAUAAAAUAGACAGACUAGAAGAACAAAAGAAACUGAUAAUAGAUGCUGAGUUGAAGAUUUGUUUGGAGAAAGAAGACUGUAAUACAAUCGUUAAGUUAUUUGAUCAACAGCUCAUUUCACAACCUCUAUGUGACAUGGAGAUGGGUGGACAACUGUUAAAUAUAUCAUUUACUGACUGGGUAAAGAAUACAGGAGAAAAUGUUGGCAAUACUUUAACCAGUGCUGUUGCUGAUAAAUUACUAGAUGAAUUAGGGCUUACUAAGUUCAUGAACUCAGUUCCCUGUGAUAGAUAUGCUGGAAUAUUUGCAGACUCUGAGAAUGGCUGGAAUA